rnacentral:rRNA from 1 species
UUAUUAAGGGUGCAGGGCGGAUGCCUUGGCACUAGGAGCCGAUGAAGGACGUGAUAAGCUGCGAUAAGCUUCGGGGAGUUGCACGUAAACUUUGAUCCGAAGAUUUCCGAAUGAGGAAACUCACUUAGAGUAAUGUCUAAGUAUCAUUAAGUGAAUACAUAGCUUAAUGAGGGGAACUCAGGGAACUGAAACAUCUAAGUACCUGAAGGAAGAGAAAGAAAUUCGAUUCCGUAAGUAGCGGCGAGCGAACGCGGAUUAGCCCAAACCAAUAAAGUUUUCUUUAUUGGGGUUGCGGACAUAUCAUAACGAAGAGGUAUCGUAAUUGAAGAGGUUUGGAAAGACUCACCACAGAAGGUAAUAGUCCUGUAUGUUAAACGAGAAGACUUCAGAUAUGAUCCAGAGUACCACGGGACACGUGAAACCCUGUGGGAAGCAGGAGGGACCACCCUCCAAGGCUAAAUACUACCUAGUGACCGAUAGCGUAUAGUACCGUGAGGGAAAGGUGAAAAGAACCCCGGGAGGGGAGUGAAAUAGAACCUGAAACCCUGCACUUACAAGCUGUGGAAGCACAUUUCUUGUGUGACCGCGUACUUUUUGUAGAACGGGCCAACGAGUUACGUUAAGUAGCAAGGUUAAGCACUUAAGGUGCGGAGCCGUAGCGAAAGCGAGUUUUAACUGAGCGUUCAGUUACUUGACGUAGACCCGAAACCGGGCGACCUACCCAUGAGCAGGAUGAAGCGAAAGUAAAAUUUCGUGGAG